rnacentral:lncRNA from 1 species
GUGUACUUGGAAAAGUCGAUGUGAAUCUGUGGUAUAGUACACACUUGCAUAUAUUAUCGGUUAUAAUGAUGUGAAUUUAUAAUGGGAAUGAGAUUUCUUAUUCGAUCGUGGGACCUUCGUUUGAAAACUACUAUAGAUGAAAACAACUGAUUCCAACAUAUCCAAAGCCAACUAAUCUUUUGAAUUUUGUGCGAUCUUAACAUUUAUUUCCUCACACCAACUUCUAAAUUCAAAGUCCAGAUGUUUUUCUUUUUCUGAAUUGCUUUAAAAGAGGUACACAAUUUUGUAGGAGAGUUUAAAAACAAAAACAAAAAAUCGACAUUUGGAUACCCGUUUGGAUUGGGUUGAGCUUUCAAAUUUCAUUCGGAUUGUUUUUCUUCUAUUUUUUGGCAUGAUUCAGUUCUGUUUUUUUUUCAGACUUCAAAAAUUAUCCAAAAAAAUCAAAAAUCUAAAUUAUCCAGAAUUCUGAUUACAAUAUAUAAACUAUCCACA